AGCCGGUCCCCUCGGCGACGGAAGCUUGUGAACCCGGUCAGGUCCGGAAGGAAGCAGCCGCAGCAGGUAUUUCGGGUACUGGGGUGUGGUUGGCUCGA
rfam:Candidatus Muproteobacteria bacterium RIFCSPLOWO2_01_FTLL_60_18 rifcsplowo2_01_scaffold_3937, whole genome shotgun sequence.